rnacentral:rRNA from 1 species
CGACGUGAGGAACCUGCCUUGAAGAGGGGGACAACAGUUGGAAGCGACUGCUAAUACCGCAUGAAGCAUAGGGGUCGCAUGAUCUUUAUGCCAAAGAUUUAUCGCUUCAAGAUGGCCUCGCGUCUGAUUAGCUAGUUGGCGGGGUAACGGCCCACCAAGGCGACGAUCAGUAGCCGGACUGAGAGGUUGAACGGCCACAUUGGGACUGAGAUACGGCCCAG